rnacentral:rRNA from 1 species
GAUGAACGCUGGCGGCGUGCCUAAUACAUGCAAGUCGAGCGAAGCGGGGACGGGUGAGUAACACGUGGAUAACCUCCUAUAAGACUGGGAUAACUUCGGGAAACCGGAGCUAAACCGGAUACUUAUCGAUGGAUCCGGGCUGCAUUAGCUAGUUGGUACGGUAACGGCUUACCAAGGCAACGAUGAAUAGCCGACCUGAGAGGGGUGUCGGCAACACUGGAACUGAGAGACUGUCCAGACUCCGACGGGAGGAAGCAGUAGGGAAGCUUCCGAAAUGGUCUCAAGCCUGACGGAGCAACGCCGCGUGAGUGAUGAAGGUCUUCGGAGCGUAAAUCUCUGUUAUUAGGGAAGCGGUACCUAAUCAGAAAGCCACGGCUAACUACGUGCCAGCAGCCGCGGUAAUAC